GCAAUACUUAGUGGCAGACGGGUGAGUAACAUGUAGGUAUCUGCCCUUUGGCCUGGAAUAACACGAGGAAACUUGUGCUAAUACCGGAUAAGUCUUUACGGAGAAAGCUUUAUGCACCAUUGGAUGAGCCUGCACUUGAUUAGUUUGUUGGUGGGGUAAUGGCCUACCAAGACUGUGAUCAAUAGCUGAUUUGAGAGGAUGAUCAGCCACAUUGGGACUGAGACACGGCCCAAACUCCUACGGGAGGCAGCAGUGGGGAAUCUUGCACAAUGGAGGAAACUCUGAUGCAGCGAUGCCGCGUGAGUGAAGAAGGCCCUUGGGUUGUAAAGCUCUUUCGUCGGGGAAGAAAAUGACUGUACCCGAAUAAGAAGGUCCGGCUAACUUCGUGCCAGCAGCCGCGGUAAUACGAAGGGACCUAGCGUAGUUCGGAAUUACUGGGCUUAAAGAGUUCGUAGGUGGUUGAAAAAGUUAGUGGUGAAAUCCCAGAGCUUAACUCUGGAACUGCCAUUAAAACUUUUCAGCUAGAGUAUGAUAGAGGAAAGCAGAAUUUCUAGUGUAGAGGUGAAAUUCGUAGAUAUUAGAAAGAAUACCAAUUGCGAAGGCAGCUUUCUGGAUCAUUACUGACACUGAGGAACGAAAGCAUGGGUAGCGAAGAGGAUUAGAUACCCUCGUAGUCCAUGCCGUAAACGAUGUGUGUUAGACGUUGGAAAUUUAUUUUCAGUGUCGCAGGGAAACCGAUAAACACACCGCCUGGGGAGUACGACCGCAAGGUUAAAACUCAAAUGAAUUGACGGGACCCGCACAAGUAGUGGAGCAUGUGGUUUAAUUCGAAGAUACGCGCAGAACCUUACCAACACUUGACAUGUUCGUCGCGACUCUAAGAGAUUAGAGUUUUCGGUUCGGCCGGAC
rnacentral:rRNA from 1 species